rnacentral:rRNA from 1 species
UACGUAGGGUGCGAGCGUUAAUCGGACUUACUGGGCGUAAAGCGUGCGCAGGCGGUGAUGUAAGACAGAUGUGAAAUCCCCGGGCUCAACCUGGGAACUGCAUUUGUGACUGCAUCGCUGGAGUGCGGCAGAGGGGGAUGGAAUUCCGCGUGUAGCAGUGAAAUGCGUAGAUAUGCGGAGGAACACCGAUGGCGAAGGCAAUCCCCUGGGCCUGCACUGACGCUCAUGCACGAAAGCGUGGGGAGCAAACAGG